rnacentral:rRNA from 1 species
UCUAAACGACUCUCGGCAACGGAUAUCUCGCGUCUCGCAUCGAUGAAGAACGUAGCGAAAUGCGAUACUUGGUGUGAAUUGCAGAAUCCCGUGAACCAUCGAGUCUUGAACGCAAGUUGCGCCCAAAGCCAUUAGGCCGAGGGCACGUCUGCCUGGGCGUCAC